rnacentral:rRNA from 1 species
GUAGGUGGCAAGCGUUGUCCGGAAUUAUUGGGCGUAAAGCGCGCGCAGGCGGUCCUUUAAGUCUGAUGUGAAAGCCCACGGCUCAACCGUGGAGGGUCAUUGGAAACUGGGGGACUUGAGUACAGAAGAGGAAAGCGGAAUUCCAAGUGUAGCGGUGAAAUGCGUAGAGAUUUGGAGGAACACCAGUGGCGAAGGCGGCUUUCUGGUCUGUAACUGACGCUGAGGCGCGAAAGCGUGGGGAGCAAACAGGGAUUAGAUACCCUGGUAGUCCACGCCGUAAACGGUGAGUGCUAAGUGUUAGGGGGUUUCCCGCCCCCUUAGUGCUGCAGCUAACGCAUUAAGCACUCCGCCUGGGGGAGUACGGCCGCAAGGCUG